GGACAAUUUGGACAAUAAGUUGUUGUUUUCUUCAAAUUCUUUUGUGCCUUUGUUCGGUCCAUUCGACGUCUUUUAUUCGCAUAACAUAGUUUGCAUGCGCGUCUAAUGCUUCCUCCGGAAUCAUUUUUCCGAACGGCGAUAUGAUGCUGACUCCGUCGAAGACAAGGAUUUUUUGUAUUUUCAGACAACCCUAAUAAUUUUGCAACUAAUAAUUGUCUAAAUAUUCUAAUAUUUAUAUUUUUUCUUGUUGUAAUUUUGUAAACCGUCAAAGCGUUUACAACAGAAAUUCCCAGAAAGAAUUGAAUGCCAAGUUUUCUGUACCACUUGAUUCCUUUUCUAAUUGUGGUGACAUAAGAAACCAUUUGGUUGGUAUAAUCUAUGCUAUACUUUCUUUCAUCAUAUUCAACAACAGCUAGUGGUUUUAAUGUUGCGAACAAAUGAAACGAAAGAUCAUUCUUAAGACUACCACUUGAGCGAUUCGCAUUACUAAAAUAUCGAUGGGAGCACUUAGUAGAGAACGCUUGGUACUGCUAUACGCGUGGCCUGACGGAAAUUUCUUUGAAAACAUGCGUGGUAGUCAAUGUGUUAAUUAAGAUACAUAUUACGUUAAAGAGACGAUGGUACUUAUUUAUUUAUUAAAUCUUCCUGCGACAAUUUUAAAUUUGUUAUCUUUAUACUUUGAUUUGAAAGCGCUUGACAGGGUGGCGAUAUGUAACAUUUAUAGGAACAAUAGUAGGAUUCAUAGGAACGUUUUGUUAUUUUACAAUGAUUAGCCCCAUGAUCAAUCCAGAACCAUAUA